UACGUAGGUGGCGAGCGUUGUCCGGAUUUACUGGGCGUAAAGGAUGCGUAGGCGGAUAUUUAAGUGAGAUGUGAAAUACCCGAGCUUAACUUGGGUGCUGCAUUUCAAACUGGAUAUCUAGAGUGCGGGAGAGGAGAAUGGAAUUCCUAGUGUAGCGGUGAAAUGCGUAGAGAUUAGGAAGAACACCAGUGGCGAAGGCGAUUCUCUGGACCGUAACUGACGCUGAGGCAUGAAAGCGUGGGUAGCAAACAGGAUUAGAUACCCUGUAGUCCACGCGUAAACGAUGAGUACUAGUGUAGGAGGUAUCGACUCCUUCUGUGCCGCCAGUUAACACAAUAAGUAACUCCGCCUCGGAAGGU
rnacentral:rRNA from 1 species